ACUUACUUUUGGUUUAUGAGCAACUGUUAUCUGCUGAGUUGACACCCCCAUGGUAUGCGGAUAUUUUCCAUUAUUUGGUCACUAAUGAGCUACCUGCAGGUUUGUCAAAGGCUAGAAGGGAAAAGGGUGAAGCCCAUUACUCUGUAUGGGAUGAUCCUUACCUUUGGUGGCAUUGUGCGGAUCAGGUGAGAAGAAAGAACUUCCGAUAAUGAAAGAAAGGCCUUUUAGCAGGCAACUGAUCAAAAGCUAUUCCUCUUAGCCCUAGUAGCCCUAGCUAUCUAAUGCAUACUUUCCAACUGGCCCUGGCCUAUAACGGCAAAUCACUGGCACAUGACUUGAAAUUGAGUUAGUUAGAGAGCAUUAAUUACAUCACAAAUUCCACCUAGGGAUUCCUCUAAAAAAAAGAGUAAUCUUUUUCUUUAUGUAACUAGAGAUGUAGCGACGAGCCAGCUUGGAUGUGACGAGCAAGUAUUUCUAAUUACGCAUGAAAGCUAGUGUACAGAAAUAUCCCGGGGCAAAAGGAAAAGAAUAAGUAUGCUUCACCUAUCUUUCAA
rnacentral:lncRNA from 1 species